rnacentral:lncRNA from 1 species
GACACUAAAACCUCUGGUUUGUAGGAGGGCCUGUCACUAAACACACUUAGCAAAUCGAUGAAGAUCUUGUAGCAACACUUCGCCCUCUGAGAUCCAGUUGCAUCCAUCUGUCCCUUUUGUUAUCAUUUCAUCCAGAAACCAACUGUCUGAAGACUCUUGCAUUUUCAAAAAUGGAUAAAAUGGUUAUCCACUAAAAACAAAAUCCAUGACUGAUGGUAAGUUUCUUUCCCUGGUGUAUACAAACCUCAACUGGAGAUUCCUGGCUGGAUGGACAUGGGGGCUGAGGCUGCUGUAGCCCUCUUUUAUUGCUAGUCUGCCUCCCCACCGUGGCUCAGAGUUGUACACCUGUUCCAAGUAGCUGAGGAUUCAUGGGAUGUUUGCAGCAGCUGAACACUCCUCACAAAUGCUCUGGAAGGAAUGCACAUGUCUCAAGAAGUUAUUGAAUCUUUUUUUUUUUUCAUUUUCUAAGGAAUUCUUCUAAAAAGC